rnacentral:rRNA from 1 species
GAGUUUGAUCCUGGCUCAGGACGAACGCUGGCGGCGUGCCUAAUACAUGCAAGUCGAACGCUUCCUACCGGUGCUCGCACCGGGAAAGAAGAGUGGCGGACGGGUGAGUAACACGUGGGUAACCUACCUACAAGCGGGGGAUAACAUUCGGAAACGGAUGCUAAUACCGCAUAGAUCUUUUUGUCUCCUGGCAGAAAGAAGAAAGACGGUUUCGGCUGUCACUUGUAGAUGGACCCGCGGCGCAUUAGUUAGUUGGUGAGGUAAUGGCUCACCAAGACGAUGAUGCGUAGCCGACCUGAGAGGGUGAUCGGCCACACUGGGACUGAGACACGGCCCAGACUCCUACGGGAGGCAGCAGUAGGGAAUCUUCCGCAAUGGACGAAAGUCUGACGGAGCAACGCCGCGUGAGUGAAGAAGGUUUUCGGAUCGUAAAACUCUGUUGUUAGAGAAGAACAAGGAUGAGAGUAACUGCUCGUCCCUUGACGGUAUCUAACCAGAAAGCCAUGGCUAACUACGUGCCAGCAGCCGCGGUAAUACGUAGAUGGCAAGCGUUGUCCGGAUUUAUUGGGCGUAAAGCGAGCGCAGGCGGUUCUUUAAGUCUGAUGUGAAAGCCCCUGGCUCAACCAGGGAGGGUCAUUGGAAACUGGAGAACUUGAGUGCAGAAGAGGAAAGUGGAAUUCCAUGUGUAGCGGUGAAAUGCGUAGAUAUAUGGAGGAAACACCAGUGGCGAAGGCGACUUUCUGGUCUGUAACUGACGCUGAGGCUCGAAAGCAUGGGGAGCAAACAGGAUUAGAUACCCUGGUAGUCCAUGCCGUAAACGAUGAGUGCUAAGUGUUGGAGGGUUUCCGCCCUUCAGUGCUGCAGCUAACGCAUUAAGCACUCCGCCUGGGGAGUACGACCGCAAGGUUGAAACUCAAAGGAAUUGACGGGGGCCCGCACAAGCGGUGGAGCAUGUGGUUUAAUUCGAAGCAACGCGAAGAACCUUACCAGGUCUUGACAUCCUUUGACCACUCUAGAGAUAGAGCUUUCCCUUCGGGGACAAAGUGACAGGUGGUGCAUGGUUGUCGUCAGCUCGUGUCGUGAGAUGUUGGGUUAAGUCCCGCAACGAGCGCAACCCUUAUUAUUAGUUGCCAGCAUUCAGUUGGGCACUCUAGUGAGACUGCCGGUGAUAAACCGGAGGAAGGUGGGGAUGACGUCAAAUCAUCAUGCCCCUUAUGACCUGGGCUACACACGUGCUACAAUGGAUGGUACAACGAGUCGCAAAACCGCGAGGUUAAGCUAAUCUCUUAAAGCCAUUCUCAGUUCGGAUUGUAGGCUGCAAUUCGCCUACAUGAAGCCGGAAUCGCUAGUAAUCGCGGAUCAGAACGCCGCGGUGAAUACGUUCGCGGGCCUGUACACAC